GGCCGUUUGGUCUAGUGGUAUGAUACCAUCUUAGGGUGAUGGUGGUCGUGGGUUCGAUUCCCACAACAGCCC
rfam:Schizosaccharomyces japonicus yFS275 unplaced genomic scaffold supercont5.4, whole genome shotgun sequence.